UACGUAGGGGGCAAGCGUUGUCCGGAUUUAUUGGGCGUAAAGAGCUCGUAGGCGGCUUGUCGCGUCGUCCGUGAAAACCUGCGGCUCAACUGCAGGCUGGCGGUCGAUACGGGCAGGCUGGAGUUCGGUAGGGGAGACUGGAAUUCCUGGUGUAGCGGUGGAAUGCGUAGAGAUCCGGAAGAACACCGGAGGCGAAGGCGGCUUGCUGGACCUGGUCUGACGCUGAGGCGCGAAAGCGUGGGGAGCGAACAGG
rnacentral:rRNA from 1 species